AUGCAGUCGAACGAUGAUCCCAGCUUGCUGGGGGAUUAGUGGCGAACGGGUGAGUAACACGUGAGUAACCUGCCCUUGACUCUGGGAUAAGCCUGGGAAACUGGGUCUAAUACCGGAUAUGACCGUCUGACGCAUGUCAGGUGGUGGAAAGCUUUUGUGGUUUUGGAUGGACUCGCGGCCUAUCAGCUUGUUGGUGGGGUAAUGGCCUACCAAGGCGACGACGGGUAGCCGGCCUGAGAGGGUGACCGGCCACACUGGGACUGAGACACGGCCCAGACUCCUACGGGAGGCAGCAGUGGGGAAUAUUGCACAAUGGGCGCAAGCCUGAUGCAGCGACGCCGCGUGAGGGAUGACGGCCUUCGGGUUGUAAACCUCUUUCAGUAGGGAAGAAGCGAAAGUGACGGUACCUGCAGAAGAAGCGCCGGCUAACUACGUGCCAGCAGCCGCGGUAAUACGUAGGGCGCAAGCGUUAUCCGGAAUUAUUGGGCGUAAAGAGCUCGUAGGCGGUUUGUCGCGUCUGCUGUGAAAGACCGGGGCUCAACUCCGGUUCUGCAGUGGGUACGGGCAGACUAGAGUGAUGUAGGGGAGACUGGAAUUCCUGGUGUAGCGGUGAAAUGCGCAGAUAUCAGGAGGAACACCGAUGGCGAAGGCAGGUCUCUGGGCAUUAACUGACGCUGAGGAGCGAAAGCAUGGGGAGCGAACAGGAUUAGAUACCCUGGUAGUCCAUGCCGUAAACGUUGGGCACUAGGUGUGGGGGACAUUCCACGUUUUCCGCGCCGUAGCUAACGCAUUAAGUGCCCCGCCUGGGGAGUACGGCCGCAAGGCUAAAACUCAAAGGAAUUGACGGGGGCCCGCACAAGCGGCGGAGCAUGCGGAUUAAUUCGAUGCAACGCGAAGAACCUUACCAAGGCUUGACAUGAACCGGUAAUACCUGGAAACAGGUGCCCCGCUUGCGGUCGGUUUACAGGUGGUGCAUGGUUGUCGUCAGCUCGUGUCGUGAGAUGUUGGGUUAAGUCCCGCAACGAGCGCAACCCUCGUUCUAUGUUGCCAGCGCGUUAUGGCGGGGACUCAUAGGAGACUGCCGGGGUCAACUCGGAGGAAGGUGGGGACGACGUCAAAUCAUCAUGCCCCUUAUGUCUUGGGCUUCACGCAUGCUACAAUGGCCGGUACAAAGGGUUGCGAUACUGUGAGGUGGAGCUAAUCCCAAAAAGCCGGUCUCAGUUCGGAUUGGGGUCUGCAACUCGACCCCAUGAAGUCGGAGUCGCUAGUAAUCGCAGAUCAGCAACGCU
rnacentral:rRNA from 1 species